GUGCUUGGAAGUAGGAGAGAAAGUAAUCUACUAUUUUAAGAAAAUGGAUGGGGUGCCAAUGAUUUAAUUACAUUAGCUAAGAAGCCAGUUAGCAUUUAUUACACUUUUCAGGGUUAGAGGGCUGGAGUCCUGAAUCUAGGACAAAGCUGAAAGCUUGGCAGCAGGGACAGAGUCAGAAGCAAAGGCUGGAGUAAGUGGCAGGAUGAAGGUAGAAAAUGAUAUUGUCAUUGUCUCUGUCUUUCUGAGGGAAUCACUGGGAAUGGUAUUGAGAAGUGAAGGGUGCCAUGCCUCCCACUCGCAUCCUCUUCUGUGUCCACACCAAUGCAUAUCUCACUGUUAAAGAAGACGCCGAGAUAAAACAACUGGACAAGGAGCAGCUAGUGUGCCAUAUGAGGCCAAAACAAGAUUGCAGGGUACUCAGCUGACAACAUACAUGCAGUAGAAAUACAAAAGCAAGUGCAGCAACAUGGGCAGUGACAACUAUAGAUCCCAAUUGGCCAUGCUGAUGUUAAACGUUAAAGGAUGGCUGCCAAUGAGAAUUGUGCGCUGGGCAGGAACGUGCAUCAUGCUUGGGUGUGAGAAAUGAAUCUGAGACCAGGUAGGUACUCAGAGAGAUGAUCGGAGCACAGCCACCACAUCCCAAGCUCAUUCAGUGAGCUCAGGUCUCACCAGGCCCUGCUCUGUAUUGCUAUGUUACUUUUGACAAGUAAUUUUGUUGGGGUUCGGUUUCCUUGGCUGCUAGACUUUUGUGCACCUUCUGUUUAUCCGAAUAAACUUUUCACCUCAUUGAACUGCUGUUGCUCAGGUCAGCCUCUGGCGUCUCCUAUACUUCCCAGGGAUGUGAAAUGGGUCCCUCAGACAAACACUCGGUCUGAAGAUGAAAAGAGGGCGGAACUCAAGUCGCGGAUUUGUAUCAUGGAUAAACACUGCGUACCAAGUUAGUACCAAGAAGUAGGAACCACACUGGUGCCUCCCGCUCUCCUCCGCACCUGCACAAACCCUCGGAGUUGGUCAUCUGGCUUCUCUGGGGUAACAGCCACAUCCUCCGAAAAGGGUCCGGAGCCCCAGCCUCCAGAGACUCCAGAGAGUUUUCUCAAGGCCGCGAACACACCCUCCCCGACGGCACCGUACCCACCCCUUCCCGGGCCCUGUCACCUUGGCUGCCUGUGCCAUGGCUCUCCUCACCGCGGCCGCUACCUCCGGAGCAGUAGACUAGCCCCGCCUCUCAGCAACCAAUCAAAGACUGAACUGUCCAACUCCCUGUAGCCCCGUUACUAACGCGCCACAACCAAUCACCAGACAGCAUCUCCCUUUUAGCCCCGCCCUCCUACAAAGGACGGAGAAGGCGUUUGCUAAACGGGCGUUUCCCAAAGCCAUUUGCUAAACGGAUGGGCACUGGUAAAAUCGCGAGGAGUCCCAGAGCCCAAUUACUGGCCAGAAGAGAACGGAAAUCACCUGGACGCCAUUUUGGUUAGGGGCACAGUUACUUCCGGCGCAGGGAUCCUCUGCUAGGCUGACUGGGUUUGUAUUUAGUGGAUGGCAUCGGCACCCGUGUUUUGUUACCUCCUGUUUACGGUAUAGGAUCGUCUGUAAAAUAACUUUAUUUUAACGUUUCCCAGUUGCGACUAUCUCUUUGGAAAUGUGCAGAAAUAAAAGCCAAGUCCUAACAACUGACUCCUAAAAA